CAGUCGCCACGGGAAUACAGAGGGUGCGAGCGUUAAUCGGAUUUACUGGGCGUAAAGCGUGCGUAGGCGGCUAAUUGAGUCGGAUGUGAAAUCCCCGAGCUUAACUUGGGAAUUGCAUUCGAUACUGGUUAGCUAGAGUGUGGGAGAGGAUGGUAGAAUUCCAGGUGUAGCGGUGAAAUGCGUAGAGAUCUGGAGGAAUACCGAUGGCGAAGGCAGCCAUCUGGCCUAAUACUGACGCUGAGGUACGAAAGCAUGGGGAGCAAACAGGAUUAGAUACCCGUGUAGUCCCUGUCUCUUAUAA
rnacentral:rRNA from 1 species